rnacentral:rRNA from 1 species
GAUGAACGCUGGCGGCGUGCCUAAUACAUGCAAGUCGAGCGAACGGACGAGAAGCUUGCUUCUCUGAUGUUAGCGGCGGACGGGUGAGUAACACGUGGAUAACCUACCUAUAAGACUGGGAUAACUUCGGGAAACCGGAGCUAAUACCGGAUAAUAUUUUGAACCGCAUGGUUCAAAAGUGAAAGACGGUCCUGCUGUCACUUAUAGAUGGAUCCGCGCUGCAUUAGCUAGUUGGUAAGGUAACGGCUUACCAAGGCAACGAUGCAUAGCCGACCUGAGAGGGUGAUCGGCCACACUGGAACUGAGACACGGUCCAGACUCCUACGGGAGGCAGCAGUAGGGAAUCUUCCGCAAUGGGCGAAAGCCUGACGGAGCAACGCCGCGUGAGUGAUGAGGGUCUUCGGAUCGUAAAACUCUGUUAUUAGGGAAGAACAUAUGUGUAAGUAACUGUGCACAUCUUGACGGUACCUAAUCAGAAAGCCACGGCUAACUACGUG